AAGAAAUGAUAAAAAGAAGAAAAAAAAAAAAGAGAAGAAAAUUUCAUUUUUUCUUUUCUUCUUCUUCUCUUCUUCCCUUCACCGCCAAACAUUUAAUAAACAAAUUCUCAUCCAACUUCCAUUUUUUUCCUUCUUCAAUUUGCAGAGAACAUUUAAGAGAGAUUUUGGAAGAAGAAGAGGAAUUUUACUAGAAUUUUGAGGUUGAAGAAGAGAAGGAGAACUCAAGCAAAGUGUAUCCAUGGCUGAAUCUUGGUUCAUUCUACACAUCACUGGUUUUUAAUUCGGUUUGAACUCUUCAAAUGGAAUUAAAAGGCCGAGGAGAAUUAAACCGAGCUUAUAGACCAAGGAUCUAGCCCAAGACGGUAGAGAUCGAGUUCUCGGUGCCUGAUAGACUGCCUUAGUCUGCUGAAGCUUCGUUAUCGAUUGCCAGUACGUGUUUUGAGUUGGGCAAAGAGUCUGUUGUGUUAUGAUGUAUAUACACCCUUGUAUGUUAUAGAUACUUCAUGUAUGUGUUUGACUAGCCUAGGAUCCGCUGUGUUUGACUAGCCUAGGAUCCGCUGUGUUUUGUUGAAUGUAUAAUAGUUUAUAUACUAGAUUGGCAAGUUCAUCACAUGAAAGUUUUAAGCAGAGUCGACAGAUACAGGUAUAGAAAAGCGUUGUUCGUCGGCUUCACACCAUUUUUCGGUCUAAGGUAGCAGGUAGUCCGAGAGGGGGUGUGACAAAUUAAUUCCUCUUUCUUAGAAGAAUCUGAAUCUAUACAAAGGUCUUCUUCUCGGUUUCCAAUCAUUUGAGGUAAUCUUGUAGGUUCUUUAAUUCACGGUGGAAAUUCUAAGAUACUUUGAGGUAAUUCUUGCUUUCUUAAUAGGUUUUGUUGUUUGUUUUCAUGCCAUUGUUGAAAAUCUUGAGGUUGUUCUUGAUUGUUCCCAUGCUUGGCUUAUCGCAAGAACUUCUUGAUUGUUUCUUGGUUGAUUAUCAACCAUUCUUCUUAUUGGAUCUAAAACCCAAAUGUCUAUACACAAAGUAAAAUCUUCUUGUAUAAGAGAUUAUUCUACGCUAAUUUUUUAUUUACCAUACAUGUGCUCUAUCUUGAAAUUCAAAGGACUUAACUUCAGUAACUCUCCGCUUUACAGUCAUGCAAAUCUCAGAACUGCAAAAAAAAAAUUUCUCUUUUGUUUCAAGCAUUCAAAGAAGAUGAAUUUCUCUCUUUCUCUUUCAGUUGCACAUAAGAGAAGGGAUAGAAGAUGUUUUAAGGUGGAAUGAUUAAUAAGUAGAAGGCAGAACGAUUAAUAAAUAGAAGAAGAUGAUAAGAAGAAAGGUUGGGGAAAGAAGAAUUAACUAUAGAGGUUAACUUGUCGGCUAGGUUUAUCUUCUUUGUUGCUUUUCAAUCUGUGAUGAACUUUACAAAAUAACUCUCUCUCAACCUCACUCCUAACUUCUUUUGUAUGUAGAAAUUUAAAGGAUAUGCUUCAACAAUGAGCUUAAUGGUUACAUCAGAAAAUAGGUUUUUUGUUUUUGUUUCUUUUCGUCCUUCACCUUUACAAGUAACAUGGAAAUCGCUAUUUUGGUCUAUUUGUCAAGUAGUUCAAAUUCGAUUACAUCAAGACAUCAUAUGAAUUUUGUUUUCUCUAACGACUUGGUCAGAAUGUUGAAGCAUUGUUCGAGGUAUGGAUCCUGAUAACUUCGAUUUCUCUUAUCUCAAUUUCUUCUCUAAUGAAGUGAUACCUAAUAUCUAUGUAUUUUAUUAUGUUGUGAAACUAAUAAUUCUUAGUUAGAUAGAUUGUGCUCUAGUUUUCAAAACAUAUUUUUAUUUUUUGCUUGUUAAAUUUUGAAAUCAUUUGAUAGCCCUUUCUCUUCCAAAGUUUUAGAUCCCACAUCACAUUUGACUUAUUGACAACUAAAGAAACUCCAUGAAUAUUGAUUGAAAUAUUAGGACUGUGAAUCAUGAAUAUUGUCGAAUUGCCCCUUUGGCUGCAUAGCCCAUCUCUUGGCCGCAUGGCAUUCCUUCUUGGCUGCAUGCCAACCUCUUUAGAGCUUCUUGACAUUUCCUAAAUGUCUAGCUUUCUUGCCUAGCAUACUCUUGGCCAUCCAGCCUUGUUCUAUAAAGGUUGUCUUGAUGCCACUCGGAACAUACCACAUCUCAACCUUUGGCUUGUCUUUUCAAAGGUUCUCUCGACACUUUUGGCUGCCUAGAGUAUGCAACGCCCUAGCCAACACUUAGCCAAUUUUCAAAAAUUCUUUAGGCCUUCCUUUGUUACAAUGACUCUCUUCUUUUGUCAUCUUUAAAACAAUGACACAUCUUCAAUAACACUUGAACUUAACCAUCCAAUCUUAUUAAAUUCAUUUCCAAUCUAUCUUGAAGCAGCAAUCUUAAACCAUCUUUCUUUUGUAUAAGGAGGAGGGCGACUAAAGAUUUGGAUCUUGGAGGAGGUGAUGAGAGUGUUUGGGAGUAGGAUGGCUAAAGGUUUAGAGUUGAUGGUUGCACCUAACUUCAGCUGAAAGCUCAGAAACUGCUUUUAGAUAAAGAGCUUCAAUGGUGUAGGGGAAGGACACGACAACUUUAGGUGCUUCCAUCCAAGAGCUGAGAAGUUUCUAAUUAUGGCAUCAAGGUUAACUACCAUCUACUUUAUAAUGCAAUAAAUCAUCAUUGUAUACUCCAAUGUGAUGGUGUUGUUGUCAUACCCUCUCUCGGAGCUUCUUUCCUGAACCCCUAACCUAGCUCUGAAAGGGGUGCUAGGAUUGGCAAGGAUUGCCAUAUCUUGGCAACACUAACCAAUCGACUAACCUGUCUAACUUAACUAGCAAUCACUACACGAAUGCAUGCUCGAAAGGAACAACAAUACAAGCUACAUGCUUUUACUAAUAACUUAGACCACUAGUUGCAACUAUUGUGAUACAUCAACGGAAGCUUUAAACAUGACAAUAAACUUUCUACUAAACUAACUUAUAGCAUUGAAACUUUAACAAUAAACAUAGACAUGCUCAUCCUAAACUUUUCUUAUAGACUCAAAACUAACUUUCAAAAUGACUUCACAAUUUCUAAUAAUUGAGGGCCGGACAACAGUACGACCAACAUUAGGGAAUACACAAUCUGUACCCAAAAAGUGAGAAAUGAUUUGAAAGGAUAAGUCGAAAGACUUAGUGAGUGACGGUUUUCAGAAGACAUGCUUUCUAAAACAGUUAAGAAUGUAUCUUCUUCCAUAAAUGUCGUUCUUUAGAUACAAUCUCAAUAAAACUCUUGUAUCAAAUUCUUACACCUAAUGGAGGUCGGAAUUAGUGCAAAAGAGGAAAGCAAUCUUCAAAUUAGGGUUGGAGGAGGAAGAAAGAAGGGAAAACGUAGAUGGGUUGUUGGGAUUUGAUCCAGCGGUGGCGCGAUUGAAGAGAAAGAGAUCGCCGUGAUCAUCUGGUGGGGGGAUGAGGAUGGAUUGAGGGCGGGAAGUGAUGAAAUGGGGGGCGAGAAGGAAAAGGAUAGGGAUAGAGAGGAGAAGAGAAAAGGAGAGAAUGAAGGGGGUUAAGAACAUAGAGGGAAAAGGGAGAGGAAUAAUAAGCCUCAAGAGGGGAAAAUAGGAGAAAUUGAAGGAAAAUCUGGAGAAAGAUGGAGAUUGAGAAUGGGAGAAAUGAUGAUGAUUAUAGUCUGGAAUUGUGAGAGAAGUUGAAGAAGAAAAAGAAGAAGAAAUGGAGAAUUUGGAAUUUUGGAAGAGCUUAGAUUCAAAAAACUCAGCCACCGUGUGAGCUGUGGAGAAAGAAAAAUGGAGAGAAAGAGCAAGGGAUUCCAAUGGCGAGCGAAGACUGAGAUUGGGAGAGGAGGAAGGAGGAGAACCCAACCUUGACUCUUAGAACCUUCUAUCAACUAAUGGCGUUUUCUUUUUCUUUUAAUUAAAAUUUUAAAAUACUGUAUUGGUUUUUGCAAUGCAAGUUUGUUGAACAUUAGUUUUCUCCUUAAUUCCAUAUUAGUUGACCUCUCACAUUAUUAUAUUUUUAGGUUAUUAAGGGUGAGUUAUAAUAGUUUGUGUUUGAAGAGUUUACGUGUUUAUCUUUAAUAAAAUAUGUACGUGUUUAUAUUUAUGAUCAGGAACCUAUUACAAUAGUAUGUAUCUUCUUGUACAUGUUUAUAUUUUCGAUUUUUAUUUGAAUUACAGUUUUGGUUUGAUUGGUCUCUUAAUUGACUAUUUUGUCUAUGUUUGUGUUAUAUCUGUUGAAAAGUUAUUACCAUCUUUUGUUUCUAAUGUCAUAUUCAAUAAUUUUGCUACAUGAGUUGGAAAGAGAUGGGGCAGCAAUCACAUAUUGUUGUCAAUAAAUUCGAGGUUAUUCAAAGAAAUAAAGGAUUAUGGGAGAAAAGAAAACGACAUUGAGAAAAAUUGAGGAUUAUCAAGAGAUUUAUCUUUACAAAAUAUUAGUUAGAGGAAAUCAAGGCCAAGGAAGAUUUCUGGCCAUGGGAGGAAGUUUUGAGAAAAAGAGAAUGAAAAAUGAAUGGUCUUGCACGAAUCUGAUCUACUAUAGUGGUGAAGCUACCAAGUUUUGCAAUAAUCCAUGGGAGCAGUGAAGCCAUAUUUGUGGCAAUUCAUUGAUUUAUAGACUUUUUUGUAGGUUUGGUAGCAAAAUUUUGGUUCAAAUGAACUUAUUUAAAUAGUUUAUUCAUACCAAAACAUAUAUGUUCAUUCUUCAUUGUACAAACACUUUACGAACAAGUGUACAUAUAUUAAAGUAUUUAUUAAAGUGUUCACUAUUUUCCA